rnacentral:lncRNA from 1 species
UUUUCUCUCUCAUUCUCCCCUCUCAUUUUCGUCCCUCCCCUUCCCCUCUCUACUCUCUCUCUUCUCUCUUCAACGCACAUGGAAGAACACUCCUAAGCUUCUAAACACCUAGAUCCACCAUUACAAAUCCUAGAUCUAGCCUUCUAUCACCAAGAAUCAAAGGAGUGAUCAAGCUAAAGCUUCUAAAUCAAGUGGAUCUAAAAGUUCACCAUUUUCUUGUCCAAGACCUUGAUAGUAAGUGGAGCUAACUUUGAGAUCUCUUUGAUCUACCUCCAUUUCUUGAUGUUUUGAUGGAAGAAAACAAGAGGAUCAAACCACUCUCUCAUUUAUCUAAUUUUCGAAAAUUGGGGUAUUUUACCCUUCAAAUACUUUUCACUUUCUUUUCUUAAAUUGAGGUGAUAUUUAUGUAAUUGAGAACCUAUUGAGUUGAUAUCCAUGAGUUUUUGAAAAGAAGGGAUCUUGAAUUUUCAAUGGGUUUAGUUUGCUAAAUUUUGGGAUGUUUUGAUUGGUGAUGAGAUUUGAUGAAUUGAUGCUUGAUUAUUGUUAUUGAGAGUGAUAAUAUGAUGAAUCAUGGAUUAGAUUGAUGGAAUGAAUUGAUUUUUGAAAAUUCUCAUGAGUUAGUUUGAUGUAAAUUGGGUAUAAGUGAUUAUUUGGUUUAAUUUGCUAAUUGAUGUCUUAUAUAUGCUAUUAAGUUAAUCAAUUUGAUAGAUCUAAGGUUUGAUCGAUGACUUAAGCAUGUUUAAAAUUUUUCAAAAAGUUUAGUUUACUAAAAAUUAGGACUUUUUGAUUUAUGUGUUAAAUGUCUAAAUUGAUUGAGUUUAAUUGAUUAUAAGCAUGACAAAAACAUUAAUUAAAGAUAAAUUUGACUAACUGUUGAGUAUGUCUAAAAUGGUCGAGUUUAGUUUACUAAGAAUUGGGGUAUUCUUGAUUAAUGAGAUAAAUGUUGGGAUUAAUUACUUUUAUGGGCUAAUUAGUAUACUAGAAUGAUGAAUUCAUGUUCGAAUUGAUGAAUUAUGAUGAGAUGUGAAAGUUUGCCGAGUUUAGUUUGCACGUUUGAAAGAGAUCUUGUAAAUGAGUUGAGUUAUUAGUUAAGUAUGUUUAUACGUUGCUGAUGAUUAAUUGAGCCUAUAUAUGCAAUACGAGAUGAAGCGAAUCAUCCCCUAAGAAACUAUGUCUUGACCGAAAAUGAGAAGAAAAAGGGGAAGGAGUUUUUGAUUUUUCUUGAGUCAUAUGAUCACGUAUUUAUGCUAUUGUGUAUUAUGUGAGCUUAAUGUGAAUUAUUUAGAAUUUUUCGAUGAAGAAAUCCAGAGUUUAGUUUGUUAAAAACGACAUUAAUUGGAACUACAUUCUUGUAUGAUUUAUUUUUGAGAAUUUGAUCUAAGAUUGUUCUCAUAUAUGUUCUUGGCUUUCGAAAUUGAAUUUUUGGGAAUUUUUUUCCCAACUAAAAAUAUUUUUCCGUUUUUAUAAAAAGCUUUCAAAAGUUUUUGUUAAGAUGUUAUUGAACUUGUUUAGUUAUUCUAUGUGCUUAUCUCUAUGUGUAUGAUGCAAUUGUGUUGGAUUAUCUAUGGUGUUAGACCUUACGUGAAUUAUGUGUUAUGUGUAUACUACAUGAUUGAGUAUAGAUCUUAACUAAAACAUGUGAGAUAAGAAUAGAACUAGUGAUUACUUAGGAAGUCCAAUUCCUAGGCAAUCGAGAUGGUUAUGCGAAGUAAUGAGACUUGAUAGAGUAGUGCUAUCAGUAAGAAGGUUACUGAUCGAUUGAUGUUUUAUUCUAUGAACUACCUACAUUGUGUACCUGAAGGCACAAGCGACGAAAGGAAGUGAGGUGAAGCAAGAGCUUAAUAAAGAAAGAGUAAGCAGGAGUCCAGGUGGGCUUUCGAACUGAAAUGAAAUGAUGCUUAUGAGUUUGAUGAAUGAUUUGAAUUGAAGUUAUGUUUAAACUAAUUGACUUGCCAAUUUUUAUGAUAAUGAGCUUGUAUUUACCCUCUACUAAUGAGAUGAGACGAAUUCGGUCCUGUCACAAGCGGGAUUUUGUGCAUAGAGGUGACUGUGAGCCGUCUACCGGGUCGGCCGGUCACGGUACUUGAGAGGGAGGCCUACUUCUCAGUACCUUUGAGGAUGAGCAGUGGAUGUGGUUCAUACAUGAUGAAUGUUUUAACUGCGCAGUUACCUCUUUAUGAUGUUUAUGAUUUGUGAAAUUGCUUACACAGGUUCAUUUAUACUAAAAUCCAUGUGUAUUGCAUGAAAUGUGGCAAGUUCAAUUUAUAGCUGUAAGAGCAAGCUUUCAAUUAUUUUCGGCAUAUGUUCACUGAGUACCUUAUACUCAGCCCUGCAUAUAUUUCUAAAUGUGCAGGUAUGGCUUUGAUGGAGAUGGCAGGGUGCUGAGCUGGCUUGUUGUGAAGAAGGGAGAAUUGUACUCUAGGUUACAUGUCUUCAUACAUGUAAUCAUUACAAAUUCCGCUGCGAUGCUUUGAUAAACCUUAUUUAUUUCAACAUUGUUCUAAACUUGAGAUAUUAUUUGAGACUUGUAUUUUCCCAUGUGACUUUAGACAACUUAUUGAAUUUAAUUGAGAGUUGUAUAACUAAUAAACUUGAUAUUAAU